AGUGAACGCUGGCGGUAGGCCUAACACAUGCAAGUCGAACGGCAGCACAGUAAGAGCUUGCUCUUACGGGUGGCGAGUGGCGGACGGGUGAGGAAUACAUCGGAAUCUACUUUUUCGUGGGGGAUAACGUAGGGAAACUUACGCUAAUACCGCAUACGACCUACGGGUGAAAGCAGGGGAUCUUCGGACCUUGCGCGAUUGAAUGAGCCGAUGUCGGAUUAGCUAGUUGGCGGGGUAAAGGCCCACCAAGGCGACGAUCCGUAGCUGGUCUGAGAGGAUGGUCGGCCACACUGGAAGUGAGACACGGUCCAGACUCCUACGGGAGGCAGCAGUGGGGAAUAUUGGACAAUGGGCGCAAGCCUGAUCCAGCCAUACCGCGUGGGUGAAGAAGGCCUUCGGGUUGUAAAGCCCUUUUGUUGGGAAAGAAAAGCAGCAGGUUAAUACCCCGCUGUUCUGACGGUACCCAAAGAAUAAGCACCGGCUAACUUCGUG
rnacentral:rRNA from 1 species